rnacentral:rRNA from 1 species
GUUUUUUAUUGAACAAAUUUCUUUGGUGGCGGGAGCAAUCCUACCGCCAGAGGUUAUAACUAAACCAAACUUUUUAUUUACAGUCAAACUUGAUUUAUUAUUACAAUAGUCAAAACUUUCAACAACGGAUCUCUUGGUUCUCGCAUCGAUGAAGAACGCAGCGAAAUGCGAUACGUAAUAUGAAUUGCAGAUAUUCGUGAAUCAUCGAAUCUUUGAACGCACAUUGCGCCCUUUGGUAUUCCAAAGGGCAUGCCUGUUUGAGCGUCAUUUCUCCCUCAAACCCCCGGGUUUGGUGUUGAGCAAUACGCUAGGUUUGUUUGAAAGAAUUUACGUGGAAACUUAUUUUAAGCGACUUAGGUUUAUCCAAAACGCUUAUUUUGCUAGUGGCCACCACAAUUUAUUUCAUAACUUUGACCUCAA